UGUGAGGGCAAGGUGGCUGUGACAUCUGUCGCCCCAUUGAUGACCAGGGUUGAUUAGCCUGAUCCAACAGGCUAGGUGUGUAUCCCCUCACUCCCUCACCACUCCAUGUGUGUGCCCUCCUGAAGCUGUGCACUCAGCUGACAAUCUUCCCUAAAUAGACGAGGACCAACCUUUAGUCAAGUGUAUAUAAGUAGCUGUACUCCCCUGCUAGAACCUCCAAACAAGCGCUAAAGAGUUCUAAGUUCUACCAACUUCUUGUAUUUGCAAGUAAAGUUUUAUUGUAACACAAUUGUGUUCAUUUGUU
rnacentral:snRNA from 1 species